GUGAUGGAGCUAGGCACUCGACGAGCCUCGACGGCCGCCCAGGCUGCGAGACAGCCUUUUUUCAAGACGAAAGACAACCUUUUUCUUAGAUGAAAAUGAAUGGGAUGAGAACUGGAAUCACACGUUACUUAAAAGUGCUAUCAACCACUUGCGGUUUCUACCUUUCAUAAAAUAUAAUCUCAAUCUGCCUAAAAGUAUGGCUCCUGACUGUCCUGAGAGAAGAAAUAGCCCAUAAAAUGGCCAUUUUAAGCCACUGAUUGUACGGUCGAGGCCGACCAGAGGAAGAUUGAUGGUGGCCUUCUGCAUUUUCAGAAUGAAGAAUCGUGUAUACCAACAAUUCAUUUACGUGCUCCAAAUGUUGUGGAGCUUGUUGGCAGUGCACGGGAAACGUGGGGCCAACAUCACGUGAUUAACCACGGUCGUUUCACGUGCUCAACAGUUGUAUUCGCAUCCACGGGUUAUGGAGUUGCUAGGAUUCCACCAUUUACUCCAAUUAACGUGGCAUGAGGGCUUCAACAUUAUAGACUCUGCAGUUGAGCAUGCUAAAUCACUUUUGUUCCCAGGACAAUGAAGAGUUUAGGAAUACACAUGGAGAAUUUAAUUUUAUUGAGUCCGUGAUAGAGAUAGCAGCAUAGUCAUUCGUGCAACAAGAAAUUCGGCUAUAGUUAAUGCAAUAAAUGUUGAUUGUUGUACAUGUGGUAAUCAAAAUGAAAAUGGAGAAAAGAGCAUCUCCAAUGAGACAAUGGAUCAGAGAAAUUGUAAGCCUCGUGCACAAGAAAGAGGAGAUAGAGAGAGCGAAGAUAAAUUAUAAAAAUUAAAUGGUGAAUGUGCUAAAGAUUCUCUUGUUUUUUUUUUUUUCUUGUCAUAUAAAUAUUUUGCGAUGAUGUGACAUACUCUUUAGUGUAAUCCACAAUCCCAUUGAAAAUGCUCUUAGAGUUACAGUAUAUUAUUCACGCAUUUACGAGCAUUUUAAGUAGCAUUUGGAUUGCUUUUGACAAAUAUUAAUACCAUUUGAUCCGAGUUGUAAGUAAUAUCAAACUUUGAAUGAAUCAAAGGCUCGUGUAAGAAAUUUUGAAAUCCAAUAUUUGCUACAUCUACAUAAUGAAUAAUCUAUUCCAGUGCUUCUUGUCUUUCAGAGACAAUGUUGUAUACAUCGAGACGAUAGUUUGAUGAAAUUAGAUAAGAUCUAGUUGUAUUAUAGAAAGUUAUAUCAAUUAUUCUAUUAAUUAGUUAAGGAUUUCAGAUGGUGGGAGGGAGU